rnacentral:misc_RNA from 1 species
AGCAGAAAGACAGUUGGCUCAGAACGAACGCUGGCGGCUGGCUCAGAACUAACGCUGGCGGCUGGCUCAGAACGAACGCUGGCGGCCCACUCCUACGGGAGGCAGCAGUGGGACUCCUACGGGAGGCAGCAGUGGGACUCCUACCGGAGGCAGCAGUGGGCCCACUCCUACAGGAGGCAGCAGUGGGACAGUUGGCUCACAACGAACGCUGGCGGCUGGCUCAGAACGAACGCUGGCGGCUGGCUCAGAACGAACGCUGGCGGCCCACUCCUACAGGAGGCAGCAGUGGGACUCCUACGGGAGGCAGCAGUGGGACUCCUACCGGAGGCAGCAGUGGG